rnacentral:rRNA from 1 species
UACGUAGGGUGCAAGCGUUGUCCGGAAUUAUUGGGCGUAAAGAGCUCGUAGGCGGUUAGUCGCGUCUGCUGUGAAAACUCGGGGCUUAACCCUGGGCCUGCAGUGGGUACGGGCUGACUAGAGUGCGGUAGGGGAGACUGGAAUUCCUGGUGUAGCGGUGAAAUGCGCAGAUAAUCAGGAGGGAACACCGGUGGCGAAGGCGGGUCUCUGGGCCGUAACUGACGCUGAGGAGCGAAAGCGUGGGGAGCGAACAGG